rnacentral:rRNA from 1 species
UACGUAGGGGGCAAGCGUUGUCCGGAUUUAUUGGGCGUAAAGAGCGUGUAGGCGGCCAGGUAGGUCUGCUGUGAAAACUCGAGGCUCAACCUCGAGACGUCGGCGGAAACCAUCUGGCUAGAGUCCGGAAGAGGAGAGUGGAAUUCCUGGUGUAGCGGUGAAAUGCGCAGAUAUCAGGAAGAACACCAAUGGCGAAGGCAGCUCUCUGGGACGGUACUGACGCUGAGACGCGAAAGCGUGGGGAGCGAACAGG